rnacentral:rRNA from 1 species
AACGAACGCUGGCGGCAUGCCUAACACAUGCAAGUCGAACGAGACCUUCGGGUCUAGUGGCGCACGGGUGCGUAACGCGUGGGAACCUGCCCUUAGGUUCGGAAUAACUCCCCGAAAGGGGUGCUAAUACCGGAUAAUGUCUUCGGACCAAAGAUUUAUCGCCUUUGGAUGGUCCCGCGUUGGAUUAGCUAGUUGGUAGGGUAAAAGCCUACCAAGGCGACGAUCCAUAGCUGGUCUGAGAGGAUGAUCAGCCACACUGGGACUGAGACACGGCCCAGACUCCUACGGGAGGGAGGAGUGGGGAAUAUUGGAAAAUGGGGGAAAGCAUGAUGGAGCAAUGACGCGUGAGUGAUGAAGGCCUUAGGGUUGUAAAGCUCUUUUACCCGGGAUGAUAAUGACAGUACCGGGAGAAUAAGCUCCGGCUAACUCCGUG